UACGGGGGGAGCAAGCGUUGUUCGGAUUUACUGGGCGUAAAGGGUGCGUAGGCGGCUUUCUAAGUUGGAUGUGAAAACUCUGGGCUCAACCCAGAGACUGCAUCCAAAACUGGAGAGCUUGGGUUCUGGAGGGGAAAGCGGAGUUCCUGGUGUAGCGGUGAAAUGCGUAGAUAUCAGGAGGAACACCGGUGGCGAAGGCGGCUUUCUGGACAGAUACCGACGCUGAGGCACGAAAGCUAGGGGAGCAAACAGG
rnacentral:rRNA from 1 species